UCCGCAGUCGGAGGGAUCCGUCUGUCCGGGUUUUCCCGACUGCCGCGGGUCCCCUUUAGAAAAGCAAUGGGAUGGGGCGCCUGGGUGGCUCAGAUGGUUAGGCGUCUGCCUUCGGCUCAGGUCAUGAUCCCAGGGUCCUGGGAUCGAGCCCCACAUCGGACUCCUGUUUCAGCGGGGAGCCUGCUUCUCCCUCUCCCUCUGCCUCUCUCCCUGCUCAUGCUCUCUCUCUCUCUAUCUCAAAUGAAUAAAUAAAAAAAAAAGAAAAAAAAGAAAAGCAAUGGGAGUUCGUGGGAGGAGCGGGAGUGUAACUCCUGGAAGCAGCACCUGAGGAGCCUCGUGGCAGCGGAUUCCUCCGGAGGGCCGGCGGGGCGAAGAAGCUGUUGGUAGGCAACAAAACCGGUAGCCAACAUAGGUCACUGGUUCUCAAAGAGUAUACAGUGGAGUUGCCGGUUGAUCAAUGCAUCCUGUUACAAAAACAUGCGUGGAUUGUAUUAUGGAGAACUAAUUCUGUCAAUUACUAGGCAUCAUCAUUUGCCUUGCCAUGUCUUGCUGAAUCUGCUUUCUACAUUGGGGUAAGAGUGUUGCUCUGUGUAGUAUCCUCAACCAUACCUGCUCCACCAGCCACCAGAUGAUUAGAACAUCUGUUCAAUAUCUUCCUGAUCUGUUAUUCAUCUCAGAAACUUCCUAAAGGAAAGGAAAAGAGCUUCUAACACAAUCGGCUGAUAAACCAUAGAGUUGGAUCGAUAAGGAAAAUAAUCCACCUGAAUUCUUGAGAUAAAAGACUCUUGGGAGAGCCGGAAGGGCGUGUGCGACGGUGAAGUGCCCAGAGCCUGGAGCCUGGCUUCAGAUCCCAGCUCAUUCUCAACUAACUGUUAGACCCGGGACAAGUCUCCUUAACUCCUUUCCUCAUCUGUGGAGAGGGAAUGAUGUAUCAAGUAUACAUACUAUCAGCCUGACUCAUCAGCCUCACGUUGACCCUGAUCACCUGGUAGAGGUCGGUUAGUCCGGUUUCUCCACUGGAAAAUUAUCCGCUACCCCUUUCAUACCGUCCUCUCUGGAAGGAAGUCCACACUUGGGCAGAGAGUUAUGUUCCACCUGUUUGAGGAUGUGGCUUGCAGCCUUCCUGCAGCACCCCGAACUGGAAGAGCCCAAUGCGUGGUUUGCAGGGUCUCAACCAAGCCAAGUAGAGAGGCAUGGGUUUGGAACUGAGAGACAAUGAUGGUCAUGGGCCACCUCUCAACCAUAUUCUAUAUCGUCUCCUAUUUGGACCUCACAUUGCCUGUGGAAGGAAGUACUAAUGCCUCCAAAACUGAGUCCUAGACUUAGAAGCUGGUGCGUCGCCGUGGCUGAUCCAGGUCCGACCCACGGGGGAGGUCGCUCCCGUUGUCAGGUGCCUUUAUACAGUGUCCGGCACGUAGUUUGGAUCUAUGCUCAAGAGAGAGAGAGAGGCAGAGGGAGAAGCAGGCUCCCGAGGAGCAGGGAGCCCGAUGCGGGACUCGAUCCCAGGACCCUGAGAUCAUGACCUGAGCCGAAGGCAGACGCUCAACCAUCUGAGCCACCCAGAGUGAUGUCAGCUAUGUGGUGGAAAAGUCUUCUACUAUCUUCCCCAGAAGGAACACCAAUUUUGACAGUUGCCCACGGAUGAGAGUGCUUUUGGGGAGGUCCAGGAGUUUAGCAGAGAAGCUCCAGCACAUCAUUGAAGGAAAAAAAUCAGGAGUGGACACAUGAAGAUGUGUUGAAAAAGGAAGUCGACUAUGUGGUUAUCUCAUGAUACCUCAUGAGCUUGGCCUGACAUCUCAGCUGCCCUUUGACCCCUGCAGCCAUUGCAACAGAAACCACCUGGCCUCCCUCAGGACUGCCUGCCUAGUGACCCACCACUUGCCAUCUGGAGGAAGAUUCUGGCUGCAGAGCGAUGGAGAUGGUGGGCUCCGGACUCGUGUAUUGGGAACUCCAUCUUCGACAAUGAUCAAUGAACAAGAGAUGACACAGACACAGGAGAACCCCAUGUGAAGACAGAGGUGGAGACUGGAGUGAUGUGUUUAUGAACCAAAGACUGCCGAGGAUUGCUAGCAACCCCAGAAGCAAAGAGAGAGGUGUGGAACAGAUUCUCUCCUAGACCCUUCUGAGGGAGGCUCACCCUGCCUGGCUCCUUGGACUGCAGACUUCUGGCCUACAGAACUGUGAAAGAACUCACUUCUGUUAUAGGAAGUGCUCCUAUGAGACCAUUAACGGAGGGUGAGGGGAGCAGACCCGGAAGAGGACGCAGAGUGCUUGGCUCAGUUCCACAGGCAGUGAUGUCACCUGGCCCCUGGGGGACUCUGGACUGUAAACGAUGGCUGGGGCUGAGCUCACCCUAGACAAGGGGGCUAGAGUUCCUGCACCAGCACCCUACCAGUCACAGGUUACAGACCACCCCCAGGGACUUCACCUGCAGGCAAGUGGGAUCCAGGAACUAUAAGGGAGUUCUCCAUAAAAGCACAGCACAUGUUGCUUGUUGAAAUCAAAAGCACCCCCAAAGACAGGAAGAAAAAAAUGGUAAACAGGAAUUCCAAGGGAUCCAGGAAGAGCAACAGCAUCAUCCAACCUGUCGAAUUAUCUGCCCGUGAUAUCUGGAGUCCAGAAAGCCGGAUGCUGAUGUCCAGUCCUGCUAUCUACUUGGGUAACUUUGGGGCAUACAUUUGCAUCUUGGAUCUUAGCUGACUCUUCUGUUAAAAGGAGAUAAUGUUAAUGCUUUUACAAUUUGUUUUUUCAUAAAAUGUUUGCUCUUUGGGGUUGAUAUUCAGAUGGUAUAACUAUGUAUUGGUUGCUAAAACAUAAAUGGUUCUGUAUUGGGGGAUAAAUAGCCACUCCCCUUACUACUUUGGUCCCCUCCCUGGAACCCCUUGCAUUUCCCUACAACCCAGCAAUGAAAAUGCUGGGCACAGCUGGGCAUCUCCCUAACAUUAGGGCCAGUGUUCUUUCUAAUUAGCUGGCUGUUAAAGAUUUUGACUAUCAUCCCCAGAUCAAGCAUGUGCUGUGUGUCUAAUCCAGUGAUCACAACUGUGAGGGACAGAAAAGAAUUAGACCAUCUCUGCCUUCAAAAAGUUUAAACUUGGGGUGCCUGACUGGCUCAGUUGGAAGAGCAUGCGACUGUUGAUCUUAGAUUACUUAAAAAUAAAAUCUUAAAAAAAAAAAAGUUUACACUUUAAUUGAGGUAGGGACAAACACAGUUUAAAUAAUUAGGAAUAAUUAUGCGCUAAACUCUGUGUUUUAGUCCACGUGGGCUGCUGUAACAAAAAUACAAUUGACUGGGUGGCUUAAACAAUUAUUUCUCAUAAUUCUAGAGACUGGAAAGUUCAAGGUCAAGACCUCAGCAGAUCCAGAGACUGUUCAGGAGCUCAGAAGUCCUAAAUCAAGAUGUCAGCAGAACGUCAUUCCUUCUGGAGGCUCUAGGGAAAAAUUCAUUUCCAUGUUUCUUGCUUCUUGAGCUGCCUGCAUUCCUUGACCUGUGGUCCCAUCCUCCAUCUUCUGUGAUCAUGUUACCUUCUCUGGCUCUGGCCCCCUGCCUCCCUCUUAUAAGGGUUUUUCUGAUUAUAUUGGACCCGCUUGGAUAAACCGAGAUCCCCCCCCCCCCCAGGAUCCUUCACCACGUCUGCAAAGUCCCCUUUGCCAUGUAAGGUAAUGUAUAUCCCCAGGUUCCAGGGACUAGGAUGUGCAUGUCUUUGGAGGGAUAUUAUUCUGCCUACUACCUUACUUAAACGGAAGCUGCUCCGUGAAUGAGGAAAAUGAGAUGGUGCCUGCCCCCGUGGCCCUGCUGGGUGGCAGCUGAUAUGUCAUCAGUUCUCUGUUAUAAUACAGGGCGGAGGGCUCCCUGACCCCUCAUCUUCUCAGCUAAUCGGGCUUAUAUGUUCUAGCCUUAGCAUAAAAGACACAUUUACCUCCCUUCCUCCUCCUCCAGCUUCUUGGAAUUCAGGAAGACCAGUAGGUUCCUACCAAAGUGCCGUAAGGGACCAGAAUUACCCUUCCUCUUGGGGUUCUACGAUAGUUAAUUUUAUGUGCCACCCUGGCUAGGCCAUGGUACCCUCACAUUUGAUUAAACUCCAGUCUAGAAGUUGAUAUGAAAGUAUUUUUCAGGUGAAAUUUACAUUUAAAAUAAGUAGACUUUGAGUGAAGCAAAGUACCUUCCAUAACGUGGGUGGGCCUCAUCUAAUCUGCUGAAGGCCUUAAGAGCAAAAGACUGAGGUCCCUCAAGAAAGAGGAAAUUCUGCCUUCAGACUGCCUUCAGACUCAAGCUGCAGCAUCAGCUCUUCCUGAGGGUCUUCAGCUUGCUGGCCUGCCCUGCAGAUUUUGGAUUUACCAGACCCCACAGUUGUGUGAGCCAAUUCCUUAAAAUGAAUCGGUCAAUUAAUCAAUCUCUUUCUCUAUAUGCACACACACAUACACACACACACACCUUAUUGGUUCCAUUUCUCUGAAGAACUCUGACUAAUACAGGUCCAUAGAUCUCCACAGGCCAAGCCCUCUCCAAGAAGGCUUCUCCAAUCUUAUUGUAGGACUUGGCUGUGGGUCCCACAGCACCUCUCCGAUCCCGGUGUGGGAGGUCCCUGGGCCAACUCUAAGAGAAUGGUGGCAGAGCCCAGGGCCCUCCUUCCACCUUCUAGGUUCCCCUGGAAUUGUUUGGAGUUAGGAGAGGAGCAGACCAUGGGGAUAUUUAAGACAACAUUUUCCCAAAAUUUUGUCGAGAUUCUUUUUUAGCCUCAUUUGAUAUCCAGACUUCUGUUAGCGUCCCAGAAUUUUAUCAUUCUCUUAUUGGAUAACUAUGCAUCUUUUGUCUUGAUCCAAGACAUUGAUAAAAACAUAAAACAGAUAAGAGCCAAAGAUACCCAUCCCAGAAACCCUCUCUGGAGGACCCAGUUAUUUUUUCAUUCAAUCCUUCAUUUUCCUAAGACUCUGUUUUUAGAAAUUAAAUUAUUUUUGUUCUCAUUUUCAUGUGGGGAGCUUGGUGACCUUCGUAUCAGAGGUCCCAAGUUUAAAAGAGACGGUACCUCCCUCCCUUCUUAGGAAUCAAUGUUUUUCUUCCUGGGGAUUACUCGUAGCGUGGCCUGCCACAUCCCCUGCCUUUACACCUGCCCCCCAACCCCACCUCUCAAUGGACUAACAUGCCUUCCCUAAGCUCAGUAAACAACGUCAAACUCCCCCUCUCAGCUCUGAGGCCAACCCCGCGUCUGGCUGCGGGGCAUUUCAAAAGCUUCCGUUAGUAGAUCAAGUGAGUCGUGAUCAAGUCUGCCAUGUUGCUGGGUGUUCUGGACUUGGCUCUAGUUCUAGAGGCUAAGCUCCUUGCUGCUACCUAGAACUCAGUUCCAGUCUCUCUCUCUUUUUAAAAAAGAUUUAUUUAUUUAUUUUAGAGAGAGCGAGUACGGGGAGGAGGAGGGGCAGAGGGAGAGAGAGAGAGAGAGAGAGAAACUUACGCAGACUCCACGCUGAGCGCAGGCUCGAUCCCACGACCCUGAGACCACCAGCCGACACCAGGAGUCUGAAGCUUAACCCACUGCACCACCCAGGCACCCCUCCCGGGUCUCUUGACUCCUUAGUUUAUUUUUGUAGCCUGACAACCAGUAGUCCCUUCAACCAGUCGGCAGCUGGUGGACUUGCCAGACGUUACUGCUCGUCUGUUUGGAUCAUCGCGUAUGACCCUCUCCCGGUUGCCAUGCCUCAGUGAUCUGCACAACACCCGCAUUUGACUUCUUUCUGGACUUCUGAGGUGCUAAUCCCUGCCCGGGCCGUUGCCAGCCACAGUACUCUUGGCAGGUGAUGUUCUGCCUGCUCAUGGAUCCCCUUCCCCCCAGCAUCUGUCUUUGCCCCAUGAGCGGGUCUAGACUUCUGGUGCAGGCCCCUCCUGGGCUGUCCCGUCCCAUCCACCCCAUCUCUGAGCUCCUGUUCUGGUAGAAAAGAUAUGGAAUUCAGAGACUUCCCAGCAGGGCAGCUUCUUGGAGGUGGGAGCCGGGGUGGG